rnacentral:rRNA from 1 species
AGUGAACGCUGGCGGCGUGCCUAAUACAUGCAAGUCGAACGGAGUGGCGCACGGGUGAGUAAUGUAUGGCUAAUCUGCCCUACACUAGAGGACAACAGUUGGAAACAACUGCUAAUACUCCAUAGUGUAGGAUGUGGCUAUAUUGUAUCAGCUAGGUGGUGAGGUAAGGGCUGACCAAGGCUAUGACGCAUCACUGGUCUGAGAGGACUAUGAGCAUAACUGGACGUGAGACAGCGUCCGGACUCCUACGACAGGGAGCAGUAGGGAAUUUCAGCCAUGGGGGGAAACUCUGAAGCGGCUACGCCGCGUGGAGGAUGUCAAUUUGCGGAGCAGACACUCCUGUUGUUAGGGAAGCGGUACCUAAAGAAGAAGCACCGGCUAACUCCGUGCCAGCAGCCGCGGUAAUAC